GGGCGUAAGAGCUCGUAGGCGGUUUGUCGCGUCUGCCGUGAAAGUCCGGGGCUCAACUCCGGAUCUGCGGUGGGUACGGGCAGACUAGAGUGAUGUAGGGGAGACUGGAAUUCCUGGUGUAGCGGUGAAAUGCGCAGAUAUCAGGAGGAACACCGAUGGCGAAGGCAGGUCUCUGGGCAUUAACUGACGCUGAGGAGCGAAAGCAUGGGGAGCGAACAGGAUUAGAUACCCUGGUAGUCCAUGCCGUAAACGUUGGGCACUAGGUGUGGGGGACAUUCCACGUUUUCCGCGCCGUAGCUAACGCAUUAAGUGCCCCGCCUGGGGAGUACGGCCGCAAGGCUAAAACUCAAAGGAAUUGACGGGGGCCCGCACAAGCGGCGGAGCAUGCGGAUUAAUUCGAUGCAACGCGAAGAACCUUACCAAGGCUUGACAUGAACCGGAAACACCUGGAAACAGGUGCCCCGCUUGCGGUCGGUUUACAGGUGGUGCAUGGUUGUCGUCAGCUCGUGUCGUGAGAUGU
rnacentral:rRNA from 1 species